GACAGAGGGUGCAAACGUUGUUCGGAAUUACUGGGCGUAAAGCGCGUGUAGGCGGCUCGGAAAGUCGGAUGUGAAAGCCCUGGGCUUAACCUAGGAGGUGCAUUCGAAACUCCCGAGCUUGAGUUCUGGAGAGGAAGGCGGAAUUCUCGGUGUAGAGGUGAAAUUCGUAGAUAUCGAGAGGAACACCGGUGGCGAAGGCGGCCUUCUGGACAGUGACUGACGCUGAGACGGCGAAAGCGUGGGGAGCAAACAGG
rnacentral:rRNA from 1 species